rnacentral:ncRNA from 1 species
UCAAUAUUAAAUCUGUAUAUUGCCGUAAUAAGGUCGGCAGUUUCUACUCAGAACCAUAAAUUCUGAACUAUGGAUUAAGAGCAA